CCGUGCAGGGUGGGGGGUUAGCGGUCCCCUGUAUCCAAAACCCGCUACACGUGGAGCCCAUGGGCCCUCCGAGAGGGCAUGUAGGCGGAACCGGCCUGGGUGCGGAGGCGCUGACGGCCGAGCCCCCUGCGACGCACACCGGCGAACCCCGCCAGGCCCGGAAGGGAGCAACGGUAAGCCGGUCCCUGCGGGUGAUAGGGGAUCACUUGGCCCGAGCCGAAGCCCUGGGACACGCCCACCGAACCGCCCCCGACGGGGGCCCGCACGG
rnacentral:SRP_RNA from 1 species